CACGUAGUUAGCCGGAGCUUUCUUGCAGGGUACCGUCAUUUUCGUCCCCUGCGACAGAACUUUACAACCCGAAGGCCGUCUUCAUUCACGCGGCAUCGCUGCAUCAGGGUUUCCCCCAUUGUGCAAUAUCCCCCACUGCUGCCUUCCGUAGGAGUCUGGGCCGUGUCUCAGUCCCAAUGUGGCCGUUCAACCUCUCAGUCCGGCUACCGAUUGUCGGUUUGGUGGGCCGUUACCCCGCCAACUGCCUAAUCGGACGCGAGCCCAUCUUUCAGCGGAUUACUCCUUUGAUAUCAGUGCCAUGCGACUCCGAUAUUUUAUGCGGUAUUAGCGUUCGUUUCCAAACGUUAUCCCCCUCUGAAAGGCAGGUUGCUCACGUGUUACUCACCCGUCCGCCACUAAGUUCAGAUGCGAGCAUCUUCACUCCGUUCGACUUGCAUGUGUUAGGCGUGCCGCCAGCGUCGUCUGUAGCCAGGAGUCAACUAC
rnacentral:rRNA from 1 species